rnacentral:tRNA from 1 species
CGCGGGGUGGAGCAGUUCGGUAGCUCGUCGGGCUCAUAACCCGAAGGUCGCAAGUUCAAAUCUUGUCCCCGCUACCA